rnacentral:tRNA from 1 species
GGCUGGUUGAGCUAGCUGGUGCUGGCCGCGGGCUUCAAACCCGUCGGGCCGAUCUUGCACGAUCGGCUGUGCGGUUCGAUUCCGCAACCAGUCUCCA